UACGGAGGGGGCUAGCGUUGUUCGGAAUUACUGGGCGUAAAGCGCACGUAGGCGGCUUUGUAAGUUAGAGGUGAAAGCCCGGGGCUCAACUCCGGAAUUGCCUUUAAGACUGCAUCGCUAGAAUUGUGGAGAGGUAAGUGGAAUUCCGAGUGUAGAGGUGAAAUUCGUAGAUAUUCGGAAGAACACCAGUGGCGAAGGCGGCACACUGGCCCAUUACUGACGCUGAAGCUCGAAAGCGUGGGGAGCAAACAGG
rnacentral:rRNA from 1 species